UACGAAGGGGGCUAGCGUUGCUCGGAAUCACUGGGCGUAAAGCGCACGUAGGCGGAUUGUUAAGUCAGGGGUGAAAUCCUGGAGCUCAACUCCAGAACUGCCUUUGAUACUGGCGAUCUUGAGUCCGGGAGAGGUGAGUGGAACUGCGAGUGUAGAGGUGAAAUUCGUAGAUAUUCGGAAGAACACCAGUGGCGAAGGCGGCUCACUGGACCGGCAUUGACGCUGAGGUGCGAAAGCGUGGGGAGCAAACAGG
rnacentral:rRNA from 1 species